CAAUAAGCGGAGGAAAAGAAACCAACAGGGAUUGCCCUAGUAACGGCGAGUGAAGCGGCAACAGCUCAAAUUUGAAAUCUGGCGUCUUUGGCGUCCGAGUUGUAAUUUGCAGAGGGCGCUUUGGCAUUGGCAGCGGUCCAAGUUCCUUGGAACAGGACGUCACAGAGGGUGAGAAUCCCGUACGUGGUCGCUAGCCUUUACCGUGUAAAGCCCCUUCGACGAGUCGAGUUGUUUGGGAAUGCAGCUCUAAAUGGGAGGUAAAUUUCUUCUAAAGCUAAAUACUGGCCAGAGACCGAUAGCGCACAAGUAGAGUGAUCGAAAGAUGAAAAGCACUUUGGAAAGAGAGUUAAAAAGCACGUGAAAUUGUUGAAAGGGAAGCGCUUGCAGCCAGACUUGCCUGUAGUUGCUCAUCCGGGUUUUUACCCGGUGCACUCUUCUAUAGGCAGGCCAGCAUCAGUUUGGGCGGUUGGAUAAAGGUCUCUGUCAUGUACCUCUCUUCGGGGAGAACUUAUAGGGGAGACGACAUGCAACCAGCCUGGACUGAGGUCCGCGCAUCUGCUAGGAUGCUGGCGUAAUGGCUGUAAGCGGCCCGUCUUGAAACACGGACCAAGGAGUCUAACAUCUAUGCGAGUGUUUGGGUGUCAAGCCCGAGCGCGUAAUGAAAGUGAACGGAGGUGGGAACCUUUCGGGGUGCACCAUCGACCGAUCCUGAUGUCUUCGGAUGGAUUUGAGUAAGAGCAUAGCUGUUGGGACCCGAAAGAUGGUGAACUAUGCUUGAAUAGGGUGAAGCCAGAGGAAACUCUGGUGGAGGCUCGCAGCGGUUCUGACGUGCAAAUCGAUCGUCAAAUUUGGGCAUAGGGGCGAAAGACUAAUCGAACUAUCUAGUAGCUGGUUCUGC
rnacentral:rRNA from 1 species